UGCUCUUGUCUUGUGAUCAUUCACGUAUAAAUCUUUCGCCUUUUACUAAAGAUUUCCGUGGCUGCAGGACAUAAAUGGAGCUGACCCAAAUUUUUUUCAAACCUUCCUUAUUUCCUCAUGGAG
rnacentral:snRNA from 1 species